CUUCAUCCGAAAGUGAAACCCAUUUCUCUCCCUGCUCUUCGAGACUUCAACCAGGGUCGUAUCACUCAACUCUUAGGUGUCUUUUUAAGCAAUUGAAACAAUCAAAGUUGCUCUAAUGGAAAUCUCAUCGGCCAAAUGGUUAUCUGAAUUGGGAGUGGAAGAUCCGGCUUUUAACUAUCAAUACCAAAUGAACCCUCUUGAUUACCCAAUUGAUGAUCUUGAUUUUCAGUUCUCUCCCAAGAGCUACUUAACGAAUGACCAAAUCUUCAAUCCCCAAACCGUACAAAACUUUAGCUGUGCACUCAAUGAAAAACCUCAGACCAGCAAUGAAAGGCCAAGAAAACAGCUGAAGACCAAUAGUUGGAACUCUUGCACCACUGAACAAAUCACUUCAAAGCCUCCUCCAUCUUCCUCUUCUCACAUUAUCUCU
rnacentral:misc_RNA from 1 species